ensembl:snRNA U6 U6 spliceosomal RNA
GUGCUUGCUUCGGCCACACAUACACUAAAAUUGGAAUGAUACAGAGAAGAUUAGCAUGGCCUCUGAGCAAGAAGGACACACAAAUUCAUGAAGCAUUCCAUAUUUUC